UAGGGAAUAUUGGGCAAUGGGCGCAAGCCUGACCCAGCCAUGCCGCGUGAAGGCAGAAGGCGCUUCGCGUUGUAAACUUCUUUUGUCGGGGAAUAAGGCACUGAUAACUUCGGUGAUUGAAUGUACUCGACGAAUAAGCACCGGCAAACUACGUGCCAGCAGCCGCGGUAAUACGUAGGGUGCAAGCGUUGUCCGGAUUUACUGGGUUUAAAGGGUGCGUAGGCGGCUUAAUAAGUCGGUGAUGAAAUGCAGGAGCUUAACUCUAUGCGCUGUUACCGAUACUGUUAGGCUUGAGAACGUUCGAGGUAGCUGGAAUGAGUGGUGUAGCGGUGAAAUGCGUAGAGAUCACUCGGAACACCGAUUGCGAAGGCAGGUUACUAGGACGCAUCUGACGCUGAGGCA
rnacentral:rRNA from 1 species